ACAUCCUUGGGUUGAUAGAUGGGAGGUUGUGCCAAGGUUAAGUGAAAUGGACGGAGAUUAUAAAUGAUGUGUUUCGGAUUCCAUCUCUGGCUGUAUCUAACAAGACUUUUAGUUGCAGUCCCUGACUGUUUUGUGUGACGUUUGAGGCGCUACAUGUGUAGGCUACCUCAGACGGUUUACUGGUCCCUGUGAAUGUGGAUUGUGAUAUGGAGUCGUUGUAUUUUUUUAAUGGGCUUCUUUUUGUUUCGGGUCACUCUUGAGCUUUACUAACUUCUGCUGGAUUUCAUGACACGUCACAUUUAUUCCGUCAAGGCCAAAUCUCGCCCUUUUAAUGAAAGUGGAAAAAAAAUAAUUAAUGUCUCCAGCCAUGUCUUGGUUAAAACCCUCUCUGCUCUGAUCUCUGACUGCUGCCCUCACUGCUGUGCCACCUUUGGAAGGAAAAAACUCACACAGAUAAGCCUGAAGAGGUGGAUUAUCGAAUGGGCUUCUCUUAUCCACGUUUAAAACUACUGGAUUUGAAUAAUUCAAAUCUUAAGCGGUUGUCUGAGUAGAGCUGCAUCAUGGCAGGAGCUGUCAGACACCUCCGUUUGCUGAAGUGAAAAUCUCCUUCAGUUUUCCCACAGGCGACGUGAGGAGUUCUUCCACUGCUUGGAGAUCUCAUCAGUCCAAAGUUAGAGCGGCUGGGUUAUAAAAUACCUGCUCUUUGAUUAAAAGUCACAAGUACACGCUUUGGUGCAUAAAAGUGUGGCAUAAUUUUCUGACAAAGUGUGUGAUGUGCUAAAGAAUGUAGCAUGCAAUGCCUUGUGACAGCAUGAGGUAGUCAUGCUGUGCUAGAUUGAGAAAGUACAUCUGUAAGGGAGCCAGUGAACUCUGUAACCUCACUGUAAGCUCUGUGUGAGCUUAAAAAGAGCACUUCAUUGUAACCUUGCAUAAACAGUCAUUUUUAAAAAAAAUAUUACAAGCAACAGCCAAGAAAUAAUGGUGUCUGAGAUUAGCAAUAACUUAAGCAGAAUUGGAAAACACGCCUAAGGAGGAGAACCAGUGGUGUAAGUUGUCUAUAGAGAUUUAUUAAAAGACAAGUGGAAAAUCCCCAAGAUGACCGAGGAGUCAAGGAGUAGCUGGUACAGAGGGAUGAAAUAUGACACCUGGGACGCCCCUAGCUAACCCAGGUUGAAAAAAUACUUAAUAGUGAAUGAGUGAAGACCAAUGUAAUGCUUAAGGGGAUGGACAAUAGGCGUGGAUAAGUCCAAAUCCCAAAGGUAUAAAAGUGAAAGACGCCAGCAGCUCUGGUCAGAGACCUUUAUGUGUGCCAAGUGUGCGUAUCGAACUGUUCUCCCUUUUUGUCGACAUUAAAGACUUGGCUGCUCAGAACUCUGUCUCCUGUUGAUGAUUUUACUGGACUCCAAGAAGAGGAUUUUCUUGAACGAUUGAACACUGCUAAAACUUUGAGUUUUUGAUCUGUGUGGCCCGAAGCCUCGGCUCUAAAACACCACAUUAGUUUUUGUUGAGCAAGCCAGGAGGGGACAGAAUCCAUAGUCCACCACCAGCAGCGCCCACACCCUGCCACCAGACUCACAGCCACCUUUAACUUUUUAAAGUGGCCACCAACGAAGGAGGGGCUCCUACCACUCAAGCCAGCACAUCCACUCAAGAGGCACCCGACUCGCAGGCAUUGGCAGCCAUGCCAAUACCCCAGUUCAAGAACCUUCUGUAUAAGAAAGCACCUGCAGAGGUUACUUACCUCCGUGCCCAACGUCGAAGGAUAUCCGCCUCUGCAUGGGCCAGACAGUUUCGCCGCCAAAGUAAGCAGUACAUAGAGACUCAACAACUGAUAGCGGAGAAUCGCCACCUCAGGCAGGUGCAAGUUCACCUGAUGACUAUCAUUGCUGAAAAGAAUGACCUCAUUCGACAGAAGGAUGAGAUCUUUCAGCAGCUAAAGGAUCUCAUUCAAGCCAUGGAUGGCGUCAUUCGGAUAAUACGCAAACUCCCACCCGACUCACGACGUUCACUGAACUUUCCUGCACUCCCGUGAACGAACACCCACCUCUUAUGAAUUCUUCAUCAUAUUCACUCACGUUCACUUUUCACUGUGUGCACUACUGAAAGCAUAUGUUGUGUUGAUAGUUCACAGCUCAGGAUGUGGAUUUGGAAGUCGGUCAUCUGUGGCGCCACAGGAGAGUUUUCCUUCUAGAAGGUUUUUCGCUCCCACACAUCUCGACAGAGUGAACCAUCCUGUGUAUUUCACUAUGAUGACUCUUGUCACUCUCACCAUGUCACAAAUUGUAUGCACCAAUCCACUGAUAUCACUGACUAUACACCUUGCAUGCCUUACACACUAUACCACUCACAAAUGGGUAAUGGAACACUGACACUACGUAACCUUUCUCAUAAUCGGUUCAUAUAUUUACUAUGGUAUUAUCUGUAUGUUGAAUGUGAAACCUAGUAACAAUGCUUAACCUCUCUAGCCUUAAGAAAGGUGUUGCCUGUUCGCUUGCCCACAUGCAUGGGCAUUGUUGUUGUUGCUUAAGGGUCCCUGUUUGUAGGUUUAGUGCCCAGCACUGACUAAAAGAUGUAACUGUACUCCUUUUUUUGUCCACAUUAAAGACUUGGCUGCUCAGAA